GACGAACGCUGGCGGCGUGCUUAACACAUGCAAGUCGAACGGAAAGGCUCCAGCUUGCUGGAGUACUCGAGUGGCGAACGGGUGAGUAACACGUGGGUGAUCUGCCCUGCACUUCGGGAUAAGCCUGGGAAACUGGGUCUAAUACCGGAUAGGACCGCACUUUGGUGUGUGUGGUGGACAGGUUUUUCUGGUGUGGGAUGAGCUCGCGGCCUAUCGGUUUGUUGGUGGGGUAAUGGCCUACCAAGACGGCGACGGGUAGCCGGCCUGAGAGGGUGGACGGUCACAUUGGGACUGAGAUACGGCCCAGACUCCUACGGGAGGCAGCAGUGGGGAAUAUUGCACAAUGGGGGAAACCCUGAUGCAGCGACGCCGCGUGGGGGAUGAAGGCCUGCGGGUUGUAAACUCCUUUCGCUAGGGACGAAGCUUUUUGUGACGGUACCUGGAGAAGAAGCACCGGCUAACUACGU
rnacentral:rRNA from 1 species